rnacentral:tRNA from 19 species
CGCGGGGUAGAGCAGUUUGGUAGCUCGUCGGGCUCAUAAUCCGAAGGUCAUAGGUUCGAAUCCUAUCCCCGCAACCA